UACAGAGGUCUCAAGCGUUGUUCGGAUUCAUUGGGCGUAAAGGGUGCGUAGGUGGCAAGGCAAGUCUGGUGUGAAAUCCCGGGGCUCAACCCCGGAACUGCACUGGAUACUACUUUGCUAGAGUACUGGAGAGGAGACUGGAAUUUACGGUGUAGCAGUGAAAUGCGUAGAUAUCGUAAGGAAGACCAGUGGCGAAGGCGAAUCUCUGGACAGUUACUGACACUGAGGCACGAAGGCCAGGGGAGCAAACGGG
rnacentral:rRNA from 1 species